rnacentral:rRNA from 1 species
UACAGAGGUCUCAAGCGUUGUUCGGAUUCAUUGGGCGUAAAGGGCGCGUAGGCGGUCGUGACAAGUCACUUGUGAAAUCUCCGGGCUUAACUCGGAACGGUCAAGUGAUACUGUCGGACUAGAGUACAGAAGGGGCAACUGGAAUUCUCGGUGUAGCGGUGAAAUGCGUAGAUAUCGAGAGGAACACCUGCGGCGAGGGCGGGUUGCUGGGCUGAUACUGACGCUGAGGCGCGAAAGCCAGGGGAGCGAACGGG